CUGGAGUUGGUGCCCUUUAACACUGAGCUAUAUUAACAGACAGGCUCUGAGACUCUAAUGCCCUCAAUAUGCAGUUUCGGUUUCUAGGGAAGAGUCCUGAGAGUCCCAAGGAGCCAUUUGGGAUCUGCCGGAGCAAGAACAACGGCGUGAAGAGCUAAAAGCGAUUCCAAGGAAAUGUAGCAGAAGUGUCAGUCCAGCUGCACUCAUGUCCUGGCAAAAGGGACAGACCGAGCCGGCUGCUUCCCCAUGUGCUCUGGUGCUGGUCUCCCACCGGGACACAGAGCAGGGCCGGGGCUCCAAGCACUGCUUUAGGGUCUCCCAGAAGUGCAAGGAAGCCUCACGCGAUGCCUGAUUCAGAAGUAGGCUGCUACCAGGCAGCUUUGUGCAUUUGGUGGCUUCCUUGGAAACUCAUCAAACGCUUGGCACAAACGCGUCCCUCCUCCAGUGACAGGAGCUCACACUUCGGCAAGCAUCAAACUGCUCUGAAAUGUGAUAACGGCGUCUGUCAAUUUCUGCACACAGAGUGCUGUUUUCUGCAGCGGGACUGUUUGUCUUGGCCUUCUGGAGCUGUAGGAGCUUUCAGACCCCCUACUCCUUGGAGCAAGGUGCUGCUGCAAUGGGGUGAGCGCGGAGCAAACAUUGAAAGGCUUUGAGCUGGGAGCUCAGUGGACCCUCAGAGCUCAUGGAGGACCUGACAAGGGUUCUCUUAGAAAGGGGCUAAUGGAAAUGUCCUUUAGGAAAGGUGAGGAUUCUUCCUGCUGGAUGCCAUGAAGAUUAAGGAUGACGGAG
rnacentral:lncRNA from 1 species